GCUAGGUAUUGUUGUACAGAUUGACUUCCAAUCAUACUAUAACAACCUACUAGAUAUCUUCUUGUUGGUUAAGGAACAAGGCGAGACCAACCAAUGUGCUGCUUUCAUCUCCAAAAUAUCUCCGAUCAUCUCCAAGCGCGGCAAGAUUGAUGCGUUUGAGAAGAACGGAAGAAUUGGAACGAAGACAACCCUUCAAGAUAUUCAGAAACUGAAGGACAAUCUGAUAGUUGACAUCAGUGUUGUUUUUGUGCACCAACGCGAUGGACGACAGUACAGUAGUACUCAGAGAGUUGACCUGGGACUUCCGCUCGUGUCAAAUCUGAAACUGUGGAAGCCCGCAAUAGGCUUUGAGCCCACGUAUCGGGAGCCCCUUGAACAAGACCAAACAGACAGUAUCUGAUAUUAAGAGAUUAUUGAGUCAAAAGUAAUAGCUACAUAAGUUUGUAUUAACAUAUUAUUCCAACGUGCUUUUAGUUGGAUUCAAAUUUUUAGUUGACAAACAAUCAAUGACAGCAACAAACAUUUUUUUACUCAACGUAAACACAUUUAGUUUUUAUUU